rnacentral:lncRNA from 1 species
UCGAGCUCAGUAACGUGGGCUUGUAACCCAAGUGGGGGCUCUAAGGUGUUGGAACGUUGUUCGAGCCCUUAUGGCAGGAUCAGGCUUGGCUAAUUUCUGGCUUGCCCGUUCCAAGCUGAGAGUUAAACCAUGGGACCUGGGCGAAGGCUUGGGUCUCCUAGUUCCUAGAGCAGAGGGUAAUGCGUGAGGCUGGCUUCACAGAGCAGCGAUUACCUCUCGCUCCCAGCAGCGGAAGGAUAACAGGUCGGUGCCAUCCUGGUCCAUAUGGCUAGAUGGGCUGUGCUAACUGGACCAUCACUUUUUUCCAUUCACAUUUUAAUUUUUUUAUUAAAAAAAUAUUUGAGAAUUAGAGUAAUCGAUAAUAAAUAGCAAAACUUUAGAAGCAUAUCACAUUAAUAAUAUCCCUAUCAAUGAAAUAACUAACUUCCUAUUCAUGUGACUUGCAUAUUAAAGGAGAAAAAAAUACUCUACUCAUAUUAUUAUUCUAAUCUCAAAAUAAAUUUCUUCGCCUCCCCUUUUCAGCAAAAAUAACUGUACUUUGACAAUUGAAUAAUUACAAAUUAUAUCUUCCACAGAUAGCUGAACAAAAUGUAAACAUACAUUUCCUUUAAUAGAAUCAAUUUCAGUGGGUAAUCUAAGCCGUACAGAAUAAAGCAAUGAAUCGUACACCACGGAUACCCUUCAAAAGAUCUAAAUGGUCUGCAGCAAUACAUUGCACUUUCAUUUUCUGAAAGUAUACAGUCUAGGAUUCAAGAUUUUCUCCAGUCACAAAAAGGAUUACUGAUUCAAGUCCUUGAUAGAUUUAGACACCUAGUUUCAACUGCUAUAAAUAAAUACAUAUAUUGGAAAGCUUUGUGGUAGUUCUAAAUUAAUGGCAAUCAAAAUAAGUCUCUCUUCUACUUCUCCUCCCUAAAGAAUCGCCUUUAGAAUUCUUCCACUGUUAAACCAAAUGGUCUGAGCUUCUCCCUGAACUGCUCAUUUGAUCCCUGUUGAUCAGUGUCAAUGAUCCGACUUGUCGACCAACCUUUCCGAGACGUCCUACCCAUUUGUGGUGGUUUAAGGCUUGAUUUGUGUAUAAAUAUAUUUUCUUUCCUUCUUUGUCUUAUGCAGUAUUAGAAAUUUAGUUUGUACAACGCAGAAAGUUUGGCUUAUACUGUAUAAAAAGGUUUGCAUUCUUAAGUUUUUCUAAACAAGGUGAACUUGGUGUAUAAAUUGUCACUUCCCUGCCAAUGAAAGGGAAAUGAUUUUUAUUCUCAAAUUGUGUGAUUCUCCAAAUUUUACAUGAUAUCAGAGUCAUAAAAGUUGAAAAAAAAACACGGAGAGAAUUCAGAAACAAUGAAAAUUUCUUCCAAUCUUUAUACACUAAAUUUAAAUGACAACCCAAGCAAUUUGACUACCUGAGUGCAGUUGUAAAGAGGGAAGUACGAAAAAUGGACAAGGGCCAUGUGGACUACGUUGAGAGCCAAAAAGAAAUACAAUUUUAUCGAUAGAUCCUUCAAACAUUUAAUACCAUUGAACCAACACUUAGAUUGAUUAUCUCUCACGUCCAAAAGAUGAAGAAUUUGUGAGAAGAUAUUAAGCAGAGUUUCUCGGGAAUGCAGCAGUUGAGAUCUAACAAAUAAUAAUAAUAAUAAAAAUUAUGGAAGCAUGUGACUUAACUCAAGCAAAAGAGUUAUAAAAGUGUUUCUUUGGAAAAAAUAGUUUGAAAAAAGCUAUUUUAUUAUUUUAUAUUCUCGUAAUUAAAUUAUAUGAAAAAUAAUUUUAAAUUAUCUUUUAAUAUUCUUAAACGAUAUUUUUAAAAAAAUAUUUUUCUCAAUGGCAACUCCAACAGUAAUGUCAAACAAUCCCUUAAAAUAAUAGAUGUAUUCCUUAAUUCCUCUCCAAAGAUCAAAUAUUUCUACACAUACUUGACCAACAAAGAACAUAGUUGAUCAAUUUGUAAGAGAUCAAUAUCUUCUUAGUUGAUAGGUUUAUCAUUGAUUUUUAAAAAAUUGGAAGGCCUCAAAUCCAAAGUUUUAUGAAUUUUUCUUAUGAUUUAUAGUGGUUUAUGCUUGAACUCACACUUAUAAUCAAAUUGUUGAACUGCACGUACCCAAUUAUAUACCAAGUUCAAUUAAGGUUUAUUUUUUUUUAAUGAUGAAAUCAGCAAAAUUCAAGUGACGUUUUCUUGAGGGGCAUAUGGACAUUAAAGAAUGUCAAUCCCAUAUCGGCCAGAAUUAAAACUCAUUAAUAUUUAUCUUUCCAAUGCAAGGACAAUGGAAAUCGCUGAGCUCAGUAACGUGGGCUUGAAACCCAAGUGGGGGCUUUGAGGUGUUGGGACGUUGUUCGAGCCCUUAUGGCAGGAUCAGGCUUGGCUAAUUUCUGGCUUGCCCGUUCCAAGCUGAGAGUUAAACCAUGGGACCUGGGCGAAGGCUUGGGUCUCCUAGUUCCUAGAGCAGGGGGUAAUGCGUGAGGCUGGCUUCACAGAGCAGCGAUUACCUCUCGCUCCCAGCAGUGGAAGGAUAACAGGUCAGUACCAUCCUGGUUCAUAUGGCUAGAUGGGCUGUGCUAACUGGACCAUCACUUUUU